GAUGAACGCUAGCGGCAGGCUUAAUACAUGCAAGUCGAGGGGCAGCGCAGUGUAGCAAUACAUGGGCGGCGACCGGCAAACGGGUGCGGAACACGUACGCAACCUUCCUUUAAGUGGGGGAUAGCCCAGGGAAACUUGGAUUAAUACCCCGUAAUAUUAUGAAGUGGCAUCACUUUAUACUUAUAGCUCCGGCGCUUAAAGAUGGGCGUGCGACUGAUUAGGUAGUUGGCGGGGUAACGGCCCACCAAGCCUGCAAUCAGUAACUGGUGUGAGAGCACGACCAGUCAAACGGGCACUGAGACACGGGCCCGACUCCUACGGGAGGCAGCAGUAAGGAAUAUUGGUCAAUGGACGCAAGUCUGAACCAGCCAUGCCGCGUGGAGGAUGAAGGUCCUCUGGAUUGUAAACUUCUUUUAUUUGGGAAGAAACCCACUGUUUCUACGGUGGUUGACGGUACCAGAUGAAUAAGCACCGGCUAACUCCGUGCCAGCCGCCGCGGUAA
rnacentral:rRNA from 1 species